rnacentral:rRNA from 1 species
GCGCGAAAGUAGACUUCGGUCUGCGAGUAGAGCGGCGAACGGGUGAGUAACACGUGGGUAACCUACCUGAGAGCGGGGGAUAACCCGGGGAAACCUGGACUAAUACCGCAUACUAUCUGAAGGCAUAAGUCUCCAGAGGAAAGCUGGCCUAUGCUUGCAAGCCAGCACUUUCAGAUGGGCCCGCGGCCAAUUAGCUAGUUGGUGGGGUAAUGGCCUACCAAGGCUACGAUCGGUAGCCGGCCUGAGAGGGCGAUCGGCCACACUGGGACUGAGACACGGCCCAGACUCCUACGGGAGGCAGCAGUGGGGAAUAUUGGACAAUGGGGGCAACCCUGAUCCAGCAACGCCGCGUGGAGGAAGAAGGCUUUCGGGUCGUAAACUCCUGUCAGUUGGGACGAAAAGUCAUCGGUUAAUACCCGGUGACGUUGACGGUACCAGCAGAGGAAGCCCCGGCUAACUCCGUGCCAGCAGCCGCGGUAAUAC